GACGAACGCUGGCGGCGUGCUUAACACAUGCAAGUCACGGGGGCCCGCAAGGGCAACCGGCGAACGGGUGCGUAACACGUGAGCAAGCUUCCGAUUAGUGGGGGAUAGCCGGCCCAACGGCCGGGUAAUACCGCAUACGUUCACUGGACGGCAUCGUCUGGUGAGGAAACCUCCGGGGCUAAUCGGGGCGCUCGCGGCCUAUCAGCUAGUUGGCGGGGUAACGGCCCACCAAGGCUAUGACGGGUAGCUGGUCUGAGAGGAUGGCCAGCCACAUUGGGACUGCGACACGGCCCAGACUCCUACGGGAGGCAGCAGUGGGGAAUAUUGCGCAAUGGACGAAAGUCUGACGCAGCGACGCCGCGUGUGGGAUGAAGCUCUUCGGGGUGUAAACCACUGUUGCCCGGGACGAACCUCCCCUUUCGAGGGGACUGACGGUACCGGGUGAGGAAGCACCGGCUAACUCUGUGCCAGCCGCCGCGGUAAAAC
rnacentral:rRNA from 1 species